AUCCUACGGGAGGCAGCAGCAGGGAAUAUUGAACAAUGGGCGAAAGCCUGAUGCAGCAACGCCGCGUGAGGGAUGAAGGUCUUCGGAUUGUAAACCUCUUUUUCGGGGGAAGAGAAGGGACGGUACCCCGAGAAUAAGCUUCGGUUAACUACGUGGUAGCAGCCGCGGUAAUACGUAGGUUGGGAGCGUUAUUCGGAUUUACUGGGCGUAAAGCGGACCGAGGUGGGUUCUUAAGUUGGAUGUGAAAUCUCCCGGCUCAACUGGGAGGCGCCAUUCAAAACUGGGGAGCUUGAGACCAGCAGGGGAAAGUGGAAUUCCUGGUGUAGUGGUGGAAUGCGUAGAGAUCGGGAGGAACACCAGUGGCGAAAGGGACUUUCUGGGCUGGGUCUGACACUCUAGUGGGAAAGCGUGGGGACCAACCAGGAUUAGAUCCCUGGUAGUCCCCCCCCUAACCGAUGGAUACUAGGUGUGGGAGGUAUUGCCCCUUCCGUGCCGAAGCUACCGCGUUAAGUUUCCCGCCUGGGGACUCCGCCCCCAAGGUUAAAACUCAAAGGAAUUGCCGGGGGGCCCGCCCAAGCAGCGGAGCGUGUGGUUCAAUUCGAUCCACCCCGAAGACCCUUCCCUAGCCUUGCCAUCCAAGUGGUAGUAAUCUAAACCGGACCGCCCCCCAAGGNACCUUGCACAGGUGUUGCAUGCCUGUCGUCAGCUCGUCCCUUNAGUUNUUUGGUUAAUUCCCGCAACGAGCGCAACCCUCGUCACUAGUUACAUGUGUCUAGUGAGACUGCCGAGAUAAACUCGGAGGAAGGUGGGGAUGACGUCAAGUCAGCAUGACCUUUAUGCCUAGGGCUACACACACGCUACAAUGGAUAGGUACAGCAGGUUGCGAAGCCGCGAGGCGGAGCCAAUCCCUUAAAACUAUCCUCAGUUCAGAUUGUAGGCUGCAACUCGCCUGCAUGAAGUCGGAGUUGCUAGUAAACGCGGGUCAGCUAUACCGCGUUGAAUACGUUCCCGGGCCUUGUACACACCGCC
rnacentral:rRNA from 1 species